CCAUCACAGCCUUGAUGAUGGAAGAACAUACAGCUGCAAUGGCCACACUGCCAGCACAGGAGCAAUUAAUUGUCAGGUUAAUUUGAGACAGGAGAUGGUAGUAGCUUUUCAAGUCUGCUCAGGGGUGUCUCCCAAGGCCAGGAGCCACUCACUGGGCACCGCAGGGGAACCAGUCUGACAGGUCCCUGGAGUCCGUGGACAGGGAAAAAGAGCAAACCUGCAGAUGAAUAGUGUUUUGAGACAGCAGUAUCAUAGGAAAACUAUAUGCUAUACGAUAUAACCCAGCACCAGAAAUGGGUCAGGGAUUAGGGCGGCACGUCUGCCGUCUUGGCAGAAAUCAAACUGCAGCCUGCGCUGGGACUUGAGCUGGGUUAGGUACCACUGCCUGUGUCGGGAGCAGACCCAGAGUACAAAUAACAUAAUGCGAAAAGGUUUUUAAGAAACUGAAAAGCGAGUUUAAUUCUGGGAAUCCCGAUGAGGGUCUGAGCUUUGAAGCGCAGGAGAAAAUGGGACCUGCGCCGGCAGCCACCUGAACAACCCGGAGGCUCGGUGCGGGAGCGUCCCCGCCGCCCCCCGCAGCGAGCGGGCGGUGCCGGGGCCCGCGGGGCUCCAGCCGGGGCGCUGCGGCUCCUGCGGCAAAGCCCCCGGCCCUGCCUCACGCAGGGGAGCGGCGCCACCGCCCCGCUUACCACCGGCACGGCUCCCCGGCCCCGCCCGGAGGUGAGGGAGGGAGGGAGGACCCGGCGCUCCCCGCCCGGCGCCACACGGGGGGAGUUUCCCCUCAGCGCGGGCAGGUGGGGCCGCUCCGCCGCCCGCCCCGCCUCAGCCCCGCGGGGCAGCGCGGGCAGCCCGCGGCGCUCCCGGCUCGGUCGCUGCCCCUCGCCGGCAGCUGCCGCCAGCAGCAACAGGUCCGUGCCCGCUCCUCCCUCCGCCUGCCAGGCGAACAAAGGGGCCGAGCGCGGCCCCGCGCCCGCCCGGCCCCUCCGCCAGCCCGGCCCCCGCGCUUCAGCCAUUUGCCUCGCCUGGCACCGCGGCGCCGCUCGCAGCCGCCUCCCGCUCCGCUGCCUGGGCCGGGCGCCGGGGCCGCUGCGCUGCGGGAGCUGCCCCGGAGCGGCGCGGGGCUCGUCGGCCGAAAGGAUCAGGACCAAUUGA
rnacentral:lncRNA from 1 species